rnacentral:rRNA from 1 species
GUAGUCUCGCACAGAUGCAUAUCAAUAAGCGGAGGAAAAGAAACUAACAAGGAUUCCCCUAGUAACGGCGAGUGAAGCGGGAAGAGCUCAAAUUUGAAAUCUUAAAGGGUUUCCCUUUACGAAUUGUAGUUUAAAGAAGUGUUUUCUGUUGAGGUUUUGGUAAAAGUUCUUUGGAAUAGGACAUCAUAGAGGGUGAGAAUCCCGUAUUUGACCUUUACUUUCAACUUUGUGAUACACUUUCAAAGAGUCGGAUUGUUUGGGAAUGCAGUCCAAAAUGGGUGGUAAAUUUCAUCUAAAGCUAAAUAUUGGCGAGAGACCGAUAGCGAACAAGUACCGUGAGGGAAAGAUGAAAAGAACUUUGAAAAGAGAGUUAAACAGUACGUGAAAAUUGUCAAAAGGGAAGCAGUUUGACACCAGUGUUGUUUCUCUGAAAAUCAAUUAAAGAACUGUUUAUGCUAAGCUGUUUAGACUUUAUCAGCUAAUCUGUUUAGUUUUGAGCUUUUCUUUAAUGCACUUUUCAGUUAACAAGUCAACAUCAAUUUCUUUUGCUGUAAAAAAGCUUGAGGAAGGUGGCUUGAGAUUCGUCUUAAGUGUUUAUAGCCUCUUGCCUAUGCAGUCGGAGAGAUUGAGGUCUGCAGCGUAGAUCCUUCGGGGCUAAAUGCAUUUGUGCUAAGUUAUAAGCAUUUUAUAGACAACUUGUUGACUAUGAUUUGUCUUGUAGCUUACUCGCUUAUGUUAUUUUACCUACGCUUAGGAUGUUGACAGCAGUAUAGACUGU